rnacentral:rRNA from 1 species
UAUUGGACAAUGGGCGAAAGCCUGACCCAGCCAUGCCGCGUGUGUGAAGAAGGUCUUCGGUUUGUAAAGCACGAUAAGUGGGGAGGAAGGGCAGUAAGUUAAUACCUUGCUGUCUUGACGUUACCUACAGAAUAAGCACCGGCUAACUUCGUGCCAGCAGCCGCGGUAAUACGAAUGGUGCAAGCGUUAAUCGGAAUUACUUGGCGUAAAGCGCACGUAAGUGGUUUGUUAAAUUGGAAGUGAAAGCCCCGGGCUUAACCUGGGAACUGCUUUCAUAACUGCUGAGCUAGAGUACGGUAGAGGGUAGUGGAAUUUCCUGUGUAACGGUGAAAUGCGUAGAUAUAGGAAGGAACACCAGUGGCGAAGGCGACUACCUGGACUGAUACUGACACUGAGGUGCGAAAGCGUGGGGAGCAAAC